CAGUAGCCACGGUAAUACGGAGGGUGCAAGCGUUAAUCGGAAUUACUGGGCGUAAAGCGCACGCAGGCGGUCUGACAAGUCAGAUGUGAAAUCCCCGGGCUUAACCUGGGAACUGCAUUUGUAACUGUCAGGCUGGAGUCUUGUAGAGGGGGGUAGAAUUCCAGGUGUAGCGGUGAAAUGCGUAGAGAUCUGGAGGAAUACCGGUGGCGAAGGCGGCCCCCUGGACAAAGACUGACGCUCAGGUGCGAAAGCGUGGGGAGCAAACAGGAUUAGAGCCCCAGUAGUCCCUGUCUCUUAUACA
rnacentral:rRNA from 1 species